rnacentral:rRNA from 1 species
CGCGAACGGGUGAGUAACGCGUAGGGUAACCUACCUCAUAGCGGGGGAUAACUAUUGGAAACGAUAGCUAAUNCCGCAUGACAAUUAAGUACUCAUGUACUAAAUUUAAAAGGAGCAACUGCUUCACUAUGAGAUGGACCUGCGUUGUAUUAGCUAGUUGGUGAGGUAACGGCUCACCAAGGCAACGAUACAUAGCCGACCUGAGAGGGUGAUCGGCCACACUGGGACUGAGACACGGCCCAGACUCCUACGGGAGGCAGCAGUAGGGAAUCUUCGGCAAUGGGGGCAACCCUGACCGAGCAACGCCGCGUGAGUGAAGAAGGUUUUCGGAUCGUAAAGCUCUGUUGUUAGAGAAGAACGGUAAUGGGAGUGGAAAAUCCAUUACGUGACGGUAACUAACCAGAAAGGGACGGCUAACUACGUGCCAGCAGCCGCGGUAAUACGUAGGUCUCGAGCGUUGUCCGGAUUUAUUGGGCGUAAAGCGAGCGCAGGCGGUUGUUUAAGUCUGAAGUUAAAGGCUGUGGCUCAACCAUAGUUUGCUUUGGAAACUGGAUAACUUGAGUGCAGAAGGGGAGAGUGGAAUUCCAUGUGUAGCGGUGAAAUGCGUAGAUAUAUGGAGGAACACCGGUGGCGAAAGCGGCUCUCUGGUCCUGUA